ensembl:lncRNA
CAUGUCCUCAUCACUGAGUCACCACCCAUAUCCUCAACACUGAGUCACAACCCAUGUCCUCAUCACUGAGUCACCACCCAUGUCCUCAACACUGAGCCACCACCCAUAUCCUCAACACUGAGUCACCACCCAUGUCCUCAUCACUGAGUCACUACCCAUGUCCUCAUCACUGUGUCACCACCCAUGUCCUCAACACUGAGCCACCACCCAUGUCCUCAUCACUGAGUCACAACCCAUGUCCUCAACACUGAGCCACCACCCAUGUCCUCAUCACUGAGUCACCACCCAUGUCCUCAUCACUGAGUCACCACCCAUGUCCUCAUCACUGAGUCACCACCCAUGUCCUCAUCACUGAGUCACCACCCAUGUCCUCAUCACUGAGCCACCACCCAUGUCCUCAUCACUGAGUCACUACCCAUAUCCUCAUCACUGAGUCACCACCCAUAUCCUCGUCACUGAGUCACCACCCAUAUCCUCAUCACUGAGUCACUACCCAUAUCCUCAUCACUGAGUCACCACCCAUAUCCUCAACACUGUGUCACCACCCAUAUCCUCAACACUGAGUCACAACCCAUAUCCUCAACACUGAGUCACCACCCAUGUCCUCAACACUGAGUCACCACCCAUAUCCUCAACACUGAGCCACCACCCAUGUCCUCACCACCCAUGUCCUCAUCACUGAGUCACAACCCAUGAGUCCUCAUGUCACACUGAGUCACCACCCAUGUCCUCAUCACUGAGUCACCACCCAUAUCCUCAACACUGAGCCACCACCCAUGUCCUCAUCACACUGAGUCACCACCCAUAUCCUCAUCACUGAGUCACCCCAUACCAUCAUGUCACUCCCAUCACUGAGUCACCACCCAUGUCCUCAUCACUGAGUCACCACCCAUGUCCUCAACACUGAGCCACCACCCAUGUCCUCAUCACUGAGUCACCACCCAUGUCCUCAUCACUGAGUCACCACCCAUGUCCUCAUCACUGAGUCACCACCCAUGUCCUCAUCACUGAGUCACCACCCAUAUCCUCAUCACUGAGCCACCACCCAUGUCCUCAUCACUGAGUCACCACCCAUAUCCUCAACACUGAGCCACCACCCAUGUCCUCAUCACUGAGUCACCACCCAUAUCCUCAACACUGAGUCACCACCCAUAUCCUCAACACUGAGCCACCACCCAUGUCCUCAUCACUGAGUCACAACCCAUAUCCUCAACACUGAGUCACCACCCAUAUCCUCAUCACUGAGUCACAACCCAUAUCCUCAUCACUGAGUCACCACCCAUGUCCUCAUCACUGAGUCACCACCCCAUGUCCUCAUCACUGAGUCACCACCCAUGUCCAUAUCCUCAUAUCCUCACACUGUGUCACCACCCAUAUCCUCAACACUGAGUCACCACCCAUAUCCUCAACACUGAGUCACCACCCAUGUCCUCAACACUGAGUCACCACCCAUAUCCUCAACACUGAGCCACCACCCAUGUCCUCAUCACUGAGUCACAACCCAUAUCCUCAACACUGAGUCACCACCCAUGUCCUCAUCACUGAGUCACAACCCAUAUCCUCAACACUGUGUCACCACCCAUAUCCUCAACACUGAGUCACCACCCAU